rnacentral:rRNA from 1 species
AUGUUCCUCCAUGUUGUUGGCCAUAACCAGAGGUUCAGCGUCAUUCACAACACGUUCAGGAGAUCAAUGGAGACCAUCUCUAGGUACUUCAAGCAGGUGCUUUUUGUUGUUGGGGAGCUUAGAGGAGAGAUGAUCAGGAGACCAUCUGGCCAGACUCCACCCAAGAUUCGCGGAAGCCCAAGAUGGUAUCCAUACUUCAAGGUUCAGCACUAA